GCUGCAUAUGCCCAGGUAAAGGCGGGGGAGUGGCUGUGAUCUGCACCCCUCUCCGGAGCCGGGAGCGCAAGUUCGAAUCUUGCAGGGGGCACCA
rnacentral:tRNA from 1 species